CCUACGGGAGGCAGCAGUGAGGAAUAUUGGUCAAUGGCCGAAAGGCUGAACCAGCAACGCCGCGUGAGUGAAGAAGGCCUUCGGGUUGUAAAACUCUGUCUUCAGGGAAGAAAGAGAUGACGGUACCACCAAAGGAAGCCCCGGCUAACUACGUGCCAGCAGCCGCGGUAAUACGUAGGGGGCAAGCGUUGUUCGGAUUUACUGGGCGUAAAGAGCGCGUAGGCGGUUUGAUAAGUCAUGGGUGAAAGCCCUCAGCUCAACUGAGGUUACGCCCAUGAAACUGUCUGACUUGAGUUUAGGAGAGGAGAGCGGAAUUCCCAGUGUAGCGGUGAAAUGCGUAGAUAUUGGGAGGACCACCGGUGGCGAAGGCGGCUCUCUGGACUAAUACUGACGCUGAGGCGCGAAAGCUAGGGGAGCAAACGGGAUUAGAUACCCCUGUAGU
rnacentral:rRNA from 1 species